rnacentral:rRNA from 1 species
GAUGAACGCUGGCGGCGUGCCUAAUACAUGCAAGUCGAGCGAACAGAUGAGGAGCUUGCUCCUCUGACGUUAGCGGCGGACGGGUGAGUAACACGUGGAUAACCUACCUAUAAGACUGGGAUAACUUCGGGAAACCGGAGCUAAUACCGGAUAAUAUAUUGAACCGCAUGGUUCAAUAGUGAAAGACGGUUUUGCUGUCACUUAUAGAUGGAUCCGCGCCGCAUUAGCUAGUUGGUAAGGUAACGGCUUACCAAGGCAACGAUGCGUAGCCGACCUGAGAGGGGAAUCGCCACACUGGAACUGGAGCCAGGGCCAGACUCCUACGGGAAGCAGGAAGAGGGAAUCUUCCGGAAAGGGCGGAAGGCUUACGGGAGAACGGCGGGGUGAGUGAUGAAGGCUUCGGGACCUUAAACUCUUGUUAUAGGGAAGAACAAAAGGUUAAGGUACCAUUCACGGCUUGGAGGGUCCUUAACAGAAAGGCACGGGUAAAUACGGG